rnacentral:rRNA from 1 species
CCUACGGGUGGCUGCAGUGGGGAAUAUUGGACAAUGGGCGCAAGCCUGAUCCAGCAAUGCCGCGUGUGUGAAGAAGGCCCUCGGGUUGUAAAGCACUUUUAUCAGGAACGAAAUACCACGGGUUAAUACCCUAUGGGGCUGACGGUACCUGAGGAAUAAGCACCGGCUAACUUCGUGCCAGCAGCCGCGGUAAUACGAAUGGUGCAAGCGUUAAUCAGAGUUAGUGGGCGUAAAUGGUUAAUAGGGGGUUGAAAUCCCCGGGCUCAACCUGGGAAUGGCAAUGGAUACUGGCGAGCUAGAGUGUGUCAGAGGAUGGUGGAAUUCCCGGUGUAGCGGUGAAAUGCGUAGAGAUCGGGAGGAACAUCAGUGGCGAAGGCGGCCAUCUGGGACAACACUGACGCUGAAGCACGAAAGCGUGGGGAGCAAACAGGAUUAGAUACCCGGGUAGUC